UAUUUUACACAUGCAUCCAAUGAUGUGUUUCCACAUCAUUUGAUCAAUAUGACAACUCGUGUGUUUUCAUAUUUAUUAAUUGACGUGACAACACAUCAUUGGAUGCAUGUGUAAAAU
rnacentral:pre_miRNA from 1 species